UGCACGCUUGGGCCCUGUGAGCUGAGAGUCCCAGGCAGGGGAGACCGCGGCGGGGGCGCGGGGGGGCGGGGUGCGACCGGGACGCAGGAGGUCCCACGCCGGGUGCGCACACCGGUGAGGACCCGGAGCCCUGGGAGGUAUCGCGUACGUUUCCCACGUGACUCUUCCUUAGUGCUGUGGGUGGGUGGCACAGCUUUCUUUGUCUGGGGUGGCCCGUGAGGGACCCCUAAUGAGGAUAUCGCGGGGAGGGGGCGUUCUACCUAACCGGAAAAUCUUUAGUUUUUAUUCCCAAGGGUUGUCGUCUUCCCACAGGUGUGGGGAUCAGACGGGAGAAGACAAGGGGAGAGGGAUCCUGGUAAGGAGCAGCACCAGGUCUCCAGGCUCUGUUUCUCUAGGACUCAGAGCCAACUUGACUCUCUCAGAUCCUGCACAUCUUCAUGCAGCUUACUGAGCUGCCUCAGGUGACACAUUCAGACCUUGUCUGGGAGAAAAAGUAUCGAUGUACAACCAGCUGAGCAAGCAUUUGGGAUGAAACGAUGUUCUGAGACAUGGAACUUCUAGAGCUAAAACAAGGAGAAUCCUGAAAAACUACAAUGGUUGGUCACCCUACAACAUACCAGAACCUUCUUGAAGAUUCACCCCCCACACCCGGUGGUUUUUCUCUUAGAAACUGGAGGAACAUGCCUGUCUCAUAGAUAUUUAUCCUCUAGGUACAACUUGAAGAGAUCUCAUGGUCUGUUUCUAAGAUUUUCCAAGGGGGCAAGCUUGUGAUGCUUUAGGUUUUGCAAAUCUAAAACAUUCACCAAGGCCAUUUUUCCUAUCCAUUUCCUUGAGGUGUCCUAGUCUACAAAAUGUCCCAUGUGAUUUUUCCUUUUUGUGAAGAGCAGAUUCCCUUAAUCUUGGGAGGACCAGAUAUUGUAAUGGAAAGAGUAUGGAUUUUUGAAAGCUUAAAGAUCUUCUGGUGGAUUCUGGUUCUACUAUAUACUCAUUGUGGUGGACAGUGCUAUGUGUUCACCACGUUCUACUGCGUUUUCCUCUUCUGGGCACGUAGGAAGAUCACUUAGGUGCUCUCUGAACAGUUCUGGCCAAUAGGCUGUAAGCUGAGUGACUGUGUCACUUUAUAGCUGAAGCAUGGAAUAUGAGAGAGCUUCUCCAUGCUCCUCUAUCCUUGCCGUCAUGACCACGAGGGCCAUGUGUCCUUCGUUGGUGUGGCUACAAGAUGGCAGAAAUCACUGAGUGACUGUAUAACAGAGGAUUUCUCCCCUUACCAUUGUCUCCCUUCUUACUUUGUGCGAGCAACAAAUGAAUGUUUGUUGUGUUAAAGCUGCUGAGAUUUUGUGGUUGGUUUAUUUCCACAGCAUAACCUGACUAAAACACUAGUUCUGUGUCUUCCUCCCCUUAGGUUACCCCAAUAAAAAAUACCAUGGAUUGGGUGGCUUAGGCAACAGACAUUUAUUUCUCAUGGUUCUGGGGGGCUAGAAGGGCAAGAUCAAUGUGCUGGUGAGAGCUGGCUUCCUGGCUUCAGACAGGUGGCUCCUUGUUCUCUCUGAAGGCAGAGCCCUGGUGUCUUCCUCUUCUUAUAAGGGCACUAAUCCCAUUAUGAGGAUUUCACCUGCAUGACCUCAUCUAAACCUAAUUACCUUCCCCUUCUUAAGAAAUAUUGGUAUCCCCCAAUACCAUCACAUUGGGGUUAGGGUUUCAACAUAUGAAUCUGGGGAGGAUAUAUUCAGUCCCUAACACGUUAUAAGCUUGUCAAGCUUCCUAAUAAUGCUGAGGCUAUAAAAAAGGGAAAUAAUAUCUCCUUCAAAGAGCCAUCUUAUAGGGCUGUUAGAUACUGUAGAUGUGGUGUUUAGAAUGGUUCCUCAUGCAUACCAAGAGCAGAAAAAUAUUUUGUUCCCUUCUGUUCUUUUAGGAAAAUAUACAGGUGUUUCUUUCUGGAGUAAUACUUAACCAAAAGAGUAAAUACAACCUCUCAUGUCCAGGGAAGCAUACACAGAGUCCCCAGGUGAUGCAGGUAGGCCCAUGUUUGUACUGUUGUUUGGCUCUUGGUCUUUCACCUGGAGUGGUCUUUGAUCAAGGGACCCAUGCCCAGAACAUGCCACCAUGAUGUCAGGCAUUGGAUACCAGGACUCCCCUCUGUUCACUUUUUUUUUUUAAAGAUUUUAUUUAUUUAUUUGUCAGAGAGCAUAAGCAGGGGGAGUGGCAGGCAGAGCAGGCAGAGGGAGAUGCAGGCUCCCUGCUGAGCAAGGAGCCCGGGACUCCAUCCCAGGCCCCUGGGAUCAUGACCUGAGCUGAAGGAAGGUCACGACUGAGCCACCCAGGCGUCCCCCCACUGUUCAAUUCUAAGCAUCAUAUUUUAGGAAAAUUGUUGAUAGGUGGGGGAAUUUCUAGGGGAAGGGGAGCAGGUUAGGAAAAGCCUGGAAGCCAUGGGGAUGGGUGAACAAACUACUACAAGUAAGGUUGUCAGAUUUAGCAAAUAAAAAUACGAGAAGCCCAGUAAAAUUAGAAUUUCAGAUAAACAGUGGAUCCCAUUUUAGUAUACGAGUUGCAUCAUGCAAUCUUUGGGGUCUCCUUAUACUAACAAGGUAUCCCUUGUUUAUCUGAGAUUCACAUUGAACUGGGAUCCCUGUAAUUUAUCUCGUAGUGCUAACUGCAAGGAUUGUUGAGGACAGUGCACCCACAUCAGAUAGAGAUGCAAUAUCAUACUUAGGAACACAAAUGUGUAUUUAUACUUGGCUACUGGGAGUUGCUGGGUAUGCAGAUUUCUGAGUGAGCAAAGGGGAAGUUCAGAAUUAGGUGUGUUAUUCUGGGGGAACUGCAUGUGAGAGGCAAAUUUGGACGAGGGUGGGAAUUUUGAUUAUCCUCGCUUCCUCCUUCCCCUCAAAAUAUAGAUAGAUGAGAACUGACUCUUUUGAUUUGCCCUAAGACCUACAAGCAGGAAGAUAAGGUGCUGAUAGUUACUUAGUACUUUUUCUGCCCGCCCUCUCUUUUGGUCUAUCCUUCCUUACACAGUUACUAGUACAUACAUUUAUUGAGGAACUAUGCUAAGGUCUUUCUUGACAGAAGAAAUCUAAUAGCUCCAAGAAACAAUAUUUCUUUCUUUUUUAAAAGAUUUUAUUUAUUCAUUUGACAGAACGAGAGAGCAGGAGAGCACUAACAGUGGAAGGGGCAGAGGGAGAGGGAGAAGAAGGCAC
rnacentral:lncRNA from 1 species